GAUGAACGCUGGCGGCGUGCCUAAUACAUGCAAGUCGAACGGUGCCGCAAGGCAUAGUGGCGACCGGGUGCGUAACACGUAGCUGACCUGCCCCUCAGCGGGGGACAACUGUUGGAAACGACAGCUAAUACCGCAUGAUCUUGAGAAGACCAAAGAUUUUCAAGUAAACUUCCGGGGCUGAGGGAGGGGGCUGCGGCCCAUCAGGUAGUUGGUGCGGUAACGGCGCACCAAGCCGACGACGGGUAGGGGGCCUGAGAGGGUGGUCCCCCA
rnacentral:rRNA from 1 species